rnacentral:rRNA from 1 species
GUUGUAUGGUUAAGUGACUAAGCGUACACGGUGGAUGCCUUGGCAGUUGGAGGCGAUGAAGGACGUAUUAACUUGCGAUAAGCCUAGUCAAGCUAGUAAAAAGCACUUGAGACUAGGAUUUCCGAAUGGGGAAACCCACCUGCUUGCAGGUAUCGUUAACUGAAUACAUAGGUUAACGAGGCGAACGCGGAGAACUGAAACAUCUAAGUACCCGUAGGAAAAGAAAUCAACCGAGAUUCCGAUAGUAGCGGCGAGCGAAAUCGGAACAGCCCUUAAGCUUAUUAUGUGUUAAUGGAAGGCUCUGGAAAGUGCCACGAUACAGGGUGAUAGUCCCGUACAUGAAAAGACAUUUUAAGUGAAAUCGAGUAGGUCGGAGCACGUGAAACUUUGACUGAAUAUAGGUGGACCAUCAUCUAAGGCUAAAUACUCCCAACUGACCGAUAGUGAACCAGUACCGUGAGGGAAAGGCGAAAAGAACCCCUGUGAGGGGAGUGAAAUAGAACCUGAAACCGUGUACGUACAAGCAGUAGGAGCAGACUUGUUCUGUGACUGCGUACCUUUUGUAUAAUGGGUCAGCGACUUAUAUUUUGUAGCGAGGUUAACCGAUUAGGGUAGCCGUAGGGAAACCGAGUCUUAACUGGGCGAAUAGUUGCAAGGUAUAGACCCGAAACCCGGUGAUCUAGCCAUGGGCAGGUUGAAGGUUGAGUAACAUCAACUGGAGGACCGAACCCACUAACGUUGAAAAGUUAGGGGAUGACCUGUGGCUAGGAGUGAAAGGCUAAUCAAACCGGGAGAUAGCUGGUUCUCCCCGAAAUCUAUUUAGGUAGAGCCUCGGACGAAUACUUACGGGGGUAGAGCACUGUUAAGGCUAGGGGGUCAUCCCGACUUACCAACCCUUUGCAAACUCCGAAUACCGUAAAGUACUAUCCGGGAGACACACGGCGGGUGCUAACGUCCGUCGUGAAGAGGGAAACAACCCAGACCGCCAGCUAAGGUCCCAAAGUCAUAGUUAAGUGGGAAACGAUGUGGAAAGGCCCAGACAGCCAGGAGGUUGGCUUAGAAGCAGCCAUCCUUUAAAGAAAGCGUAAUAGCUCACUGGUCGAGUCGGUCUGCGCGGAAGAUGUAACGGGGCUAAACUAUGCACCGAAGCUGCGGAUU